GCAGUAUCAAAUUCAUACCUUCCUCAAAGCCUGAAUCCACCUUGUAGAUUUAAGUAAAAAGAUAGUGAAUUACUAAAUAUAUAUAAUUCGGGAAAGAUCCAUAUUAUAAAAGAAAAACAUUCUAAACUUCUUUGUUGCCCGCAGUAUGAACUCCUCCCCACAUUCAGCACUUUAUCCUCUCUAUAUACGCCUCUGAAACAUCUUUCUAAUUUAGCUGGAAUUUAGUAAAAGAAUUAGAGCUCGUGAUUAUUUGAAUUCGGAAGGAAAAAAAGCCAAAAAAACUUCAAAUUAAUCCGCCAUUAAUACCAGCAUG
rnacentral:sRNA from 1 species